rnacentral:rRNA from 1 species
GUUCUAACGUUGACCCGUAAUCCGGGUUGCGGACAGUGUCUGGUGGGUAGUUUGACUGGGGCGGUCUCCUCCUAAAGAGUAACGGAGGAGCACGAAGGUUGGCUAAUCCUGGUCGGACAUCAGGAGGGUAGUGCAAUGGCAUAAGCCAGCUUGACUGCGAGCGUGACGGCGCGAGCAGGUGCGAAAGCAGGUCAUAGUGAUCCGGUGGUUCUGAAUGGAAGGGCCAUCGCUCAACGGAUAAAAGGUACUCCGGGG